GUGGAUUAGAUACCCUGGUAGUCCACGCCGUAAACGAUGGAUACUAGCUGUUUGGCAGCAAUGCUGAGUGGCUAAGCGAAAGUGAUAAGUAUCCCACCUGGGGAGUACGAACGCAAGUUUGAAACUCAAAGGAAUUGACGGGGGCCCGCACAAGCGGUGGAGCAUGUGGUUUAAUUCGAUGAUACGCGAGGAACCUUACCAGGGCUUAAAUGUAGGUUGACAGGCGUGGAAACAUGCCCUUCUUCGGACAACUUACAAGGUGCUGCACGGCUGUCGUCAACU
rnacentral:rRNA from 1 species